CUUCUCGGCUUCCACGGAGUCCAGUUGUUUCAAAGGAACUUGAAGCCAGCUCCUGCCCAGUGCGAGCGGCUAAGGCUGGUUGGGACCCCUGACACUAAAACUGGACCUGUGACCGGUUUUAGGCAGUGAGUGGCCUGUUGACUAGGGAAGACUGGAAACUGCAUCCUCAGGUAAGACUGGGCAUCUUCAUUUUGAAUAUGUAUUAGCAUUUAACAGAGAUGAGUCUGCGCAGAAUACCCAUUCCCGCCCCUUGUGCCGCUUCUACCAAUCACCUUUCCCCAACCUAAGCCCACCUUGCUUAUCCCUUAAGUAUCCCACCCGCUUGACCUCAAGGAGGCGGAGCUAAAGUUUGUUCUUCAUCUUCUUACUCGCUGUCCUGACUGUAGAAAUAAAAGACCCUCCUGCCCUGGGAUCAUGGACUCAAGAUGCUAGUAGCCCUGUGCUAAGGAAGCUGUGUGGCUGAUAAAUAUUUAAACAAAGAAAAUGAAGAAAGGGCCUGGCAAAGAGGAGGCCAGAGGAAGGAACAGCCAAGACUAGAGCUCUGAAACUCUUGUGCUUCAUCCCUGAGCAUUUGUGGAUUUUAAUCAAAAUAACUGGUUAGAAGACACAGGAGGGAAUCUCUGUGAUUCUUCACCGGACGGAAGCUUCAUCGCUGCAUACCCUACAGUGCCCAUCAGAGGCAGUGUGCCAGUGACUACUGU